AUUGAACGCUGGCGGCAUGCCUAACACAUGCAAGUCGAACGGCAGCACAGGGGAGCUUGCUCCUUGGGUGGCGAGUGGCGGACGGGUGAGUAAUGCAUCGGGAUCUACCCUGACGUGGGGGAUAACCUCGGGAAACCGGGACUAAUACCGCAUACGUCCUACGGGAGAAAGCGGGGGACCUUCGGGCCUCGCGCGGCAGG
rnacentral:rRNA from 1 species